CCUACGGGCGGCAGCAGUGGGGAAUAUUGCACAAUGGGGGAAACCCUGAUGCAGCGACGCCGCGUGAGUGAAGAAGUAUUUCGGUAUGUAAAGCUCUAUCAGCAGGGAAGAACAUGACGGUACCUGAUUAAGAAGCCCCGGCUAACUACGUGCCAGCAGCCGCGGGAAUACGUAGGGGGCAAGCGUGAUCCGGAUUUACUGGGUGUAAAGGGAGCGUAGACGGCAGCACAAGUCUGGAGUGAAAUGCCGGGGCUUAACCCCGGAACUGCUUUGGAAACUGUGCAGCUAGAGUGCAGGAGAGGUAAGUGGAAUUCCUAGUGUAGCGGUGAAAUGCGUAGAUAUUAGGAGGAACAUCAGUGGCGAAGGCGGCUUACUGGACUGUAACUGACGUUGAGGCUCGAAAGCGUGGGGAGCAAACAGGAUUAGAUACCCGGGUAGUC
rnacentral:rRNA from 1 species